GACGAACGCUGGCGGCGUGCUUAACACAUGCAAGUCGAACGGAAAGGCCCUGCUUUUGUGGGGUGCUCGAGUGGCGAACGGGUGAGUAACACGUGAGUAACCUGCCCUUGACUUUGGGAUAACUUCAGGAAACUGGGGCUAAUACCGGAUAGGAGCUCCUGCUGCAUGGUGGGGGUUGGAAAGUUUCGGCGGCUGGGGAUGGACUCGCGGCUUAUCAGCUUGUUGGUGGGGUAGUGGCUUACCAAGGCUUUGACGGGUAGCCGGCCUGAGAGGGUGACCGGCCACAUUGGGACUGAGAUACGGCCCAGACUCCUACGGGAGGCAGCAGUGGGGAAGAUUGCACAAUGGGCUGAAGCCUGAUGCAGCAACGCCGCGUGCGGGAUGACGGCCUUCGGGUUGUAAACCGCUUUCGCCUGUGACGAAGCGUGAGUGACGGUAAUGGGUAAAGAAGCACCGGCUAACUACGUG
rnacentral:rRNA from 1 species